rnacentral:rRNA from 1 species
AGCGAACGCUGGCGGCAGGCUUAACACAUGCAAGUCGAGCGGGUGUAGCAAUACAUCAGCGGCAGACGGGUGAGUAACGCGUGGGAACGUACCUUUUGGUUCGGAACAACCCAGGGAAACUUGGGCUAAUACCGGAUAAGCCCUUACGGGGAAAGAUUUAUCGCCGAAAGAUCGGCCCGCGUCUGAUUACCUAGUUGGUGAGGUAAUGGCUCACCAAGGCGACGAUCAGUAGCUGGUCUGAGAGGAUGAUCAGCCACAUUGGGACUGAGACACGGCCCAAACUCCUACGGGAGGCAGCAGUGGGGAGUAUUGGACAAUGGGGGCAACCCUGAUCCAGCCAUGCCGCGUGAGUGAUGAAGGCCCUAGGGUUGUAAAGCUCUUUUGCGCGGGAAGAUAAUGACGGUACCGCAAGAAUAAGCCCCGGCUAACUUCGUGCCAGCCGCCGCCGUAAUAC